AAACGUUUGGGACCCGACAGUUGCAGCGCGGGGGUGGUUGCUCACCAGGUCCUUCGGGAUCUGGGGAUUCUCUAUGCCCUCGCGCUCAGGCCAACAUCAGUUUUCGCAAGGGUGUCAGAAAGGCGCUUGGGAAGGUAGGUAGAUCUUCGGGUUUACUGUUAUAGCCCUUGUCGUUGGAUAGUCGGCCCUGGAGACUGAGGACUGCGGCGCGCUUUCGUAUUGGGCGGCUGUUACUUGGGUGGGCUAGCUGUAAGUGUCAGUCUGACUGGGCUUGCUGACUAGGCCAUCCAUUGACGGUGUCCAAUGCCGCGCGCCAAGGAUGUUGGUGGUAACGGUCCUAACCGA
rnacentral:rRNA from 1 species